AUGGUGGAGGUAGGCGUACUGCUUGUUGCAGCGGGUGAUUUCCUGUUUUCUGCUAGCUUGGGGUGUAUGUUCCCUUAUCGUUAGGUGACAGUUGGGGAUGAUCUGGCCUGCUUUUUUGUAGUUGUAGGUGGCUGCUUAUGAUUUUCCCCUGGUAGCUGAGGCAUGUCUGAAUGUGUUCCAGCAAGCUCUCUGAAUUUGAUGCUUCUAUUAUUGUGUAAUUUUACCCCCCGAGACUUGUAAUGUAGCUCAAAAAUACAGUGGAUCAUACCCCCAGAAUUACAGUGUAACUACUGUGUAAUAGGUUUGCAGAACCUCACUGUCCCAUCUUUUGCAGUCUAAUUCUGCCAUUUUCACAGUGCAAUUAUCAUGCUUUACAGUGUAAUUCUCCCAUAUCUAUAAUUACUGUGUGAUUCUCCCAAAUACUGUGUUAUUUAUUGUUUAAUUACAGUGUUAUUUGUGCUAGCAGUACUGUGUAAUUUCCCCCCUAAUUCCAGUGUAUAUUCUUGAUUACAGUGUAUAUUCCCAGAUAUGCAAGAUUUUUCAAUGUAUUUAUGCCAGGAAUCACUGUGUAAUUUGUCCUAGUAUGUCCACAGGAAUUUAGCCCAAUUACUCAUGUACUGUGUAUAUGCAGAUUUUUCAGUAUAUUAUGCCUGGAAUCACUGUGUAAUUCGUCCUAUUUAUGUUCACAGUAAUUUAGCUCAAUUACUCAUGUAAUUUACAGUGUAUUCGCCCAGAUUUACAGUGUUUUUAUGCCCUGGAAUCACUAUGUAUACGCCCAGAUCACUGUGUAGUUUACUUUGUAAAUUUAGCCCAACCACUCAUGUAAUUACAGUGUAUUUCCAUAUAGUUUUACACUGUAAUUUGUAUGGUUACAAUGUAAUUCCGUAGAGUUUUUCACUGUAAUUUGUAUGGUUUGAGGACUGUAAUUUUUGUAUGACUUACAAUGCAAUUCACCAGAGUUUUACAUUGUAUUUCCCUAGACUUCAUUGUAAAUUUGUAUGUUUGAGGACUGUAAUUUCAAUAUGACUUACAAUGUAAUUCAUCAGAAUUUUACACUAUAUUUCCCUAGAGUAAUUUCAGUAUGACUUACAAUGUAACUCAUCAGAAUUUUACACUGUAUUUGCCUAGAGGACUUUAAUUUCAGUAUGACUUACAAUGUAAUUCAUCAGACUUUUACACUGUAUUUUCUGUAGAGUAUUACACUGUAAUUUGUGUGCUUGAGGACUGUAAUUACAGUAUGACUUAUUAUGUAUUUCUCCAGAGUCUUACAGUGUCUAUGCGUUUAAUAUUCAGUUGUCUAGUUUGUGGUUUUGUAGCUUCUAGAUCUAGGUCUGGGGAUUGUUGGUUGUAGUGUUUGCGUUGGUUCUGGUUUAUUUGCCUAAUGAUUUUUGCCUUUGUGAUUUUAGGUUUGGUUCAAUGCGGAAAGUUUCUCACAAGGAUGUACCACUAGUCUCUUCUCUUGAGAGUGCAGAUUCUCUGAAUGAUCUGUUUGUGCCUAAUGAUCUUGCAGAUGAUGGUUCUAAUCCUAUGUCUUUGGUAUUUAUUUCUUUUUCUUCCCUAGUUUUAAUUAAUUUGAAUUAUUUCUUUUCAUUUUUAAUUUUAUGUGUAUGUUCACUUUAAUUUUAUUUCAGGAAAUCUCUAGUGAUGAUGGAGGGCUUGACAAAUCUCAAGUAAAUUCUU
rnacentral:lncRNA from 1 species